rnacentral:rRNA from 2 species
AAGCACCGGCUAACUCCGUGCCAGCAGCCGCGGUAAUACGGGGGGUGCGAGCGUUAAUCGGAAUUACUGGGCGUAAAGAGCGCGUAGGCUGUUAUUUAAGUCAGAUGUGAAAUCCCUGGGCUUAACCUAGGAACUGCAUUUGAAACUGAAUAGCUAGAGUUUCGUAGAGGGAGGUAGAAUUCUAGGUGUAGCGGUGAAAUGCGUAGAUAUCUGGAGGAAUACCUGUGGCGAAAGCGACCUCCUGGACGAAAACUGACGCUGAGGCGCGAAAGCAUGGGGAGCAAACAGGAUUAGAUACCCUGGUAGUCCAUGCUGUAAACGAUGUCAACUUGGAGGUUGUUUCCUUAGAGGAAUGACUUCUGAAGCUAACGCAUUAAGUUGACCGCCUGGGGAGUACGGUCGCAAGGCUAAAACUCAAAUGAAUUGGCGGGGGCCCGCACAAGCGGUGGAGCAUGUGGUUUAAUUCGAUGCAACGCGAAAAACCUUACCUGGUCUUGACAUCCAUAGAAUUCUACAGAAAUAUAGAAGUGCCUUCGGGAGCUAUGUGACAGGUGCUGCAUGGCUGUCGUCAGCUCGUGUUGUGAAAUGUUGGGUUAAGUCCCGCAACGAGCGCAACCCUUAUUCUUUGUUACCAUCGGUUCGGCCGGGGACUCAAAGGAGACUGCCGGUUAUAAACCGGAGGAAGGUGGGGACGACGUCAAGUCAUCAUGGCCCUUACGACCAGGGCUACACACGUGCUACAAUGGUAUAUACAAAGAGAAGCUAAUCUGCAAAGACAAGCAAAACUCAUAAAGUGUAUCGUAGUCCGGACUGGAGUCUGCAACUCGACUCCACGAAGUCGGAAUCGCUAGUAAUCGUGGAUCAGAAUGCCACGGUGAAUACGUUCCCGGGCCUUGUACACACCGCCCGUCACACCAUGGGAGUGAGUUGCAAAAGAAG